AGCAGUUUGCAGGCUAGUUCAUAGAUAGGAGUACACACCGUGUAGGAGUAAAUGGGAGCUUCACAGAGACUUCAAUGACCCUGUUGGGUAGAAUGACUGCUUGAACUGACUGAUGUGUCCUGUUUCUAAAGCUGAACCCAGUAAGUACCAACGCCAGGAACAGAGACAAAACCCACCAUUUGAAAGAUAGAGAAUCUACAGGAACCCAACAUCUGGAAGACAAAGACCCUAUAGAAACCAGCAACUCCACCAUUGUAUCCCAGCAAUGAAGACGCCUGGAUCUGCACGUAUGCAUCUGAGCAGGACUGGACUUUCCUGGACAUGUCCUUCCCAUAGGAGACGCAGGUAGCCCACCCCUAUAAAAGGGAUGGUAGAGUGUGACCUCUUUGGGACACCCGCUCCACCUGGACCAGCACUACGCCACAUCACCUAUCCAUCCAGAGGCCCUGUCAGUGACCCCCUCUGGACAAAACCUUGCUGGAGAAGACCCCAAGGGGCCAUCAAGGAUCAACUCACAGCCCAGAAUGGGUAGCUAUCACUCACCUUCCUUCCCCAAGCAAAGAGCCUGGACUCUGUCUCCACACACCUUGACGCCAAUCCCUCCACCAAGCCUUUCCUCACUUGCUACCAUUGUGUGUGUGACAGUGUCUGUGUGUGUAAGAACCAAUAAUGUUGUGGGGCUCUAUAGUGUGCUGCCUGAUUUAAUAUAACUGUUAUUUUGAAACGCUGAGUUGGGCUUUUGUCUUAUUAACCUCCCGGCCCUCCUCCUUGAUUUCCUGGCUUUCUCUCUCAGUUCUUUCUGCCUCAUUUUCCAGCCCCAGUCUCCCAGCUUUCUGCCUCUAUUUCCUAGCUGUUGUCUCCUUUCCACCACCACACCAGGUGACCCUGAGUAACCCUGGUUCUUCAAUUAACCUUAAGUAACCCCAAGCCCCAGUGACCCUGAGUAACCCUGGGGCACAUUAACCUCAAGUGACCCGGAGCACCAAGUUACCCCAAACCCCCCCAGCAGUGUUCACAAGAAGUGUGUGAGUGAACUCAUAGUGAUGUAUGGGGGGGGUGUGCGUGUGUGUAAUUUUGUAUCACGCCCUCCUGUCUAACAGCACAGUAUUGAGAUCCUGAGUGUUGAUCUGUCAUGUGUCAAGUCAACAGUGUUAGUGCUAACUCAAUUUUGGAGCAUUCACACCUUCAGGCUAAAAACUGUCCCUGACCUGCACAGCUGUGUCUUGCCACUAGAGGGCUGGUGAGCAGGGACUGGUCUAGGUGCUAUAGCUGAGAUGCCACUGGAGAGUUAGAGAGUUUUAUGAUAGGCUUCUAUUCUUGCUGUAGCUUUAGCUUAAUAGGGUGGGGGUUAGUAAUGAAAUAAGUGGCAAGGAAAUGAGGAUGGGGGAUGGGUGGUGAAACAAAGUAAGUCAGGAACUGAAGGACAAAAUAACAAGUAAAAAAAAAAAAAGAAUUUUAAA